rnacentral:tRNA from 4 species
GGGCUUGUAGCUCAGUUGGCUAGAGCGCUGCAUUCGCAUUGCAGAGGUCGGGGGUUCGAAUCCCCCCAAGUCCACCA